rnacentral:lncRNA from 1 species
AAAAAAAAAAAGGGCCGAGCGCGCGGAGCAUGCGGAGGUUAUUUACAUAAAGAGGAGGGACUUAAGGGCACUAGGACCCCGAUUGGCUAAGGAGGCGGGCCCCCAGCGUCGGCCGUUGAGACGUGUUGAGGGGGCGGGAAUGCGGUGCAGGUCGGCUGGGCGGUUGGGACGCAGAAUUUACACGACGAAUGUGGGAGAAAGAGGCGGAGCGUGCGUCGGACGUUGGUAGAAAGAUGGGAGCGGAGAGACGUAGGGACGCCAAAAGUGGAAGGCAACGACACACGGCCCGUGGCGCCUUCAGCUAGGGAGAAAGAGAGGACGGGGGCUGGCGGGCGGGAUUAGCUGCCGGAGGGCUGAGUUUCCGCAGGCCUGGAUGGCAGAUCUCUUGCCCAGCAUCAUCCUGAGAAAGUCAGGGUAGCUGAACGUCUCCCCGGAGCCACUGGACACCUCUCCAAUUAAUUUCUUUAGCUCUAGGUGAGUCUUGGGGACCCCAAGUUUCUCCAGC